AGUCCUCUCACCUUCACAGUCAAAGAUGGAACAAACAGGAAUAGCCAACUAACUCCCAACUGUCACCUCCCAACUGCCAAUUGCCAACUGCCACCUCCUUUUCCCAUCUUUUCUUUGUGAAAUACAUUCCCUGUGGAAUUACAUUACAAAUACAGGGUGGAGCAAAAGUAGACAUGCUCCUUUAGAAUCCACUUUCUUUGUUCUGGACUCAAGUUCACCGUCAUCGUUCACAAUAUCAACGUUCAACAGAUUUUUUGAAUUAAUGAAGCCAUUCUCAAAUCCCCUGAUGGAUGUGAAGCAACUGGCUCCAUUGAAAAACAAAAUGAAACUUGACUACAGUAAUUUAUCUCUCAUUGAAUAAAACAGUUGUUUAUUCAUACCACA